rnacentral:rRNA from 1 species
AUGGAAAGGCGAACAAGUACCACAGACUGGUUAGAGGCUUACAGCCUUUUUAUUGCAUCUUGCCCUUUCGACAUGACGUCAUACCACUUUGCCAACCAAGCUAUUCUUGAUGUCUCACAAGGGCGUCCAAGAGUGCACAUCAUUGAUUUCGGCAUCGGCUUCGGCUUUCAGUGGCCAUUAAUGAUUCAGAGGUUUGCAAAGCAAGAAGAGGGAGCCCCUAAGCUUCGGAUCACAGGUAUAAAUGCUCCCCAGCCAGGUUUACACCCCUGCGAAAUGAUCGAGGAGACAGGGAAGCGGUUGGCUGAUUAUGCAAACAUGUUCAAGGUACCUUUUCAGUAUCAGGGCAUUACUGCUUCAAGAUGGGAGACCAUUAAAAUUGAGGAUCUUAACAUUGACGAGGGUGAAUUCCUCAUAAUCAACUCCAUGUUCCGGAUGAAGAAUCUUGGUCAUGAAACCAAAGCCAUAAAUAGCACAAGGGACGAGGUGCUCAAAACUAUGAGGAGGAUCAACCCAAAGAUUUUUAUUUCUGGCACCGUGAACGGGUACCGCAGUUCUCCCUUCUUCAUGCAACGUUUCAAAGAGGUUAUGUUCCAUUACUCUUCAAUGUUUGACAUGAUUGAUGCAACUGUUCCACCGGAAAAUGAAGCAAGAAAGAUGAUCGAGAGGGUACUAUUUGGGCGGGAUGCACUUAACAGCAUAGCAUGUGAGGAUGCAGAAAGGACCGAGAGGCAAGCAAGGUUCCACAAGGCUGGGUUCCAGCAGCUUCCUGUUGAUCCAGCCAUCUUAAAGAAAAUAGUACGAAAGAAGAACUCACUUUAUCAUGAGGAAUUCUUUGCUGUUGAAGAUCGUGGUUGGCUGCUACAAGGAUGGAAAGGGAGAGUAAUUUAUGCUAUAUCUAAAUGGAAACCUGAUGAAACAUAU